rnacentral:rRNA from 1 species
GACGAACGCUGGCGGCGUGCUUAACACAUGCAAGUCGAACGGAAAGGCCCUGCUUUUGUGGGGUGCUCGAGUGGCGAACGGGUGAGUAACACGUGAGUAACCUGCCCUUGACUUUGGGAUAACUUCAGGAAACUGGGGCUAAUACCGGAUAGGAGCUCCUGCUGCAUGGUGGGGGUUGGAAAGUUUCGGCGGUUGGGGAUGGACUCGCGGCUUAUCAGCUUGUUGGUGGGGUAGUGGCUUACCAAGGCUUUGACGGGUAGCCGGCCUGAGAGGGUGACCGGCCACAUUGGGACUGAGAUACGGCCCAGACUCCUACGGGAGGCAGCAGUGGGGAAUAUUGCACAAUGGGCGGAAGCCUGAUGCAGCAACGCCGCGUGCGGGAUGACGGCCCUCGGGUUGUAAACCGCUUUCGCCUGUGACGAAGCGUGAGUGACGGUAAUGGGUAAAGAAGCACCGGCUAACUACGUGCCAGCAGCCGCGGUGAUACGUAGGGUGCGAGCGUUGUCCGGAUUUAUUGGGCGUAAAGGGCUCGUAGGUGGUUGAUCGCGUCGGAAGUGUAAUCUUGGGGCUUAACCCUGAGCGUGCUUUCGAUACGGGUUGACUUGAGGAAGGUAGGGGAGAAUGGAAUUCCUGGUGGAGCGGUGGAAUGCGCAGAUAUCAGGAGGAACACCAGUGGCGAAGGCGGUUCUCUGGGCCUUUCCUGACGCUGAGGAGCGAAAGCGUGGGGAGCGAACAGGCUUAGAUACCCUGGUAGUCCACGCUGUAAACGGUGGGUACUAGGUGUGGGGUCCAUUCCACGGGUUCCGUGCCGUAGCUAACGCUUUAAGUACCCCGCCUGGGGAGUACGGCCGCAAGGCUAAAACUCAAAGGAAUUGACGGGGCCCCGCACAAGCGGCGGAGCAUGCGGAUUAAUUCGAUGCAACGCGUAGAACCUUACCUGGGUUUGACAUGGAUCGGGAGUGCUCAGAGAUGGGUGUGCCUCUUUUGGGGUCGGUUCACAGGUGGUGCAUGGCUGUCGUCAGCUCGUGUCGUGAGAUGUUGGGUUAAGUCCCGCAACGAGCGCAACCCUUGUUCACUGUUGCCAGCACGUUAUGGUGGGGACUCAGUGGAGACCGCCGGGGUCAACUCGGAGGAAGGUGGGGAUGACGUCAAGUCAUCAUGCCCCUUAUGUCCAGGGCUUCACGCAUGCUACAAUGGCUGGUACAGAGAGUGGCGAGCCUGUGAGGGUGAGCGAAUCUCGGAAAGCCGGUCUCAGUUCGGAUUGGGGUCUGCAACUCGACCUCAUGAAGUCGGAGUCGCUAGUAAUCGCAGAUCAGCAACGCUGCGGUGAAUACGUUCCCGGGGCU